rnacentral:rRNA from 1 species
AGUAGUUUGUAUCCUGGCUCGAGGUAGUGAACGCUCGGCGGCGUGGCUUAACUACAUGCAAGUCGAACGGGGUUAAGUUCAGUUUUUGUAAGCGAUUAGCUUGCUAAGAGUGGAAAAGUUGAUAACUUAGUGGCGGACGGGUGAGUAACGCGUGGGUAACCUGCCUUACACAGGGGGAGUAACACUUAGAAAUAGGUGCUAAUACCGCAUAAGCGCACAGUCCCGCAUGGGACAGAGUGAAAAACAUUAGUGGUGUAAGAUGGACCCGCGUCUGAUUAGGCUUGUUGGCGGGGUAACGGCCCACCAAGGCGACGAUCAGUAGCCGGCCUGAGAGGGUGGACGGCCACAUUGGGACUGAGACACGGCCCAAACUCCUACGGGAGGCAGCAGUGGGGGAUAUUGGACAAUGGGGGAAACCCUGAUCCAGCGACGCCGCGUGAGUGAAGAAGUAUUUCGGUAUGUAAAGUCUCUAUCAGCAGGGAAGAAAGAAAUGACGGUACCUGAGUAAGAAGCCCCGGCUAACUACGUG